rnacentral:rRNA from 1 species
AGUCGAACGGCAGCGCGGGGCAACCUGGCGGCGAGUGGCGAACGGGUGAGUAAUAUAUCGGAACGUACCCAAGAGUGGGGGAUAACGUAGCGAAAGUUACGCUAAUACCGCAUACGAUCUAUGGAUGAAAGUGGGGGAUCGCAAGACCUCAUGCUCCUGGAGCGGCCGAUAUCUGAUUAGCUAGUUGGUGAGGUAAAGGCUCACCAAGGCGACGAUCAGUAGCUGGUCUGAGAGGACGACCAGCCACACUGGAACUGAGACACGGUCCAGACUCCUACGGGAGGCAGCAGUGGGGAAUUUUGGACAAUGGGCGCAAGCCUGAUCCAGCAAUGCCGCGUGAGUGAAGAAGGCCUUCGGGUUGUAAAGCUCUUUUGUCAGGGAAGAAACGGUUGGGGCUAAUAUCCUCGGCUAAUGACGGUACCUGAAGAAUAAGCACCGGCUAACUACGUGCCAGCAGCCGCGGUAAUACGUAGGGUGCGAGCGUUAAUCGGAAUUACUGGGCGUAAAGCGUGCGCAGGCGGUUUUGUAAGUCUGUCGUGAAAGCCCCGGGCUCAACCUGGGAAUUGCGAUGGAGACUGCAAGGCUUGAAUCUGGCAGAGGGGGGUAGAAUUCCACGUGUAGCAGUGAAAUGCGUAGAGAUGUGGAGGAACACCGAUGGCGAAGGCAGCCCCCUGGGUCAAGAUUGACGCUCAUACACGAAAGCGUGGGGAGCAAACAGGAUUAGAUACCCUGGUAGUCCACGCCCUAAACGAUGUCUACUAGUUGUCGGGUCUUAAUUGACUUGGUAACGCAGCUAACGCGUGAAGUAGACCGCCUGGGGAGUACGGUCGCAAGAUUAAAACUCAAAGGAAUUGAC